rnacentral:snoRNA from 1 species
AAACCAUGAUGAGGACAGAGAUGCUGCAAAUCCAUAAACCGCUCCCAAGCUUCGUAUAAGGACUCACUAGGAUCUUGGGUUAAGGUAACUAUGGCAUGUCUCGUAC